rnacentral:rRNA from 1 species
AGAGUUGAUCCUGGCUCAGAUUGAACGCUGGCGGCGUGCCUAACACAUGCAAGUCGAGCGGCAACAGGUGUAGCAAUACAUGCUGACGAGCGGCGAACGGGUGAGUAAUGCUUUGGAAUCUUCCCAGUAGUGGGGAAUAACCAGUCGAAAGAUUGGCUAAUACCGCAUACGUCUGUAAAGGGAAAGCGGGGGCUCGUAAGACCUCGCGCUAUUGGAUGAGCCAAAGUCGGAUUAGCUAGUUGGUGGGGUAAUGGCCUACCAAGGCGACAAUCCGUAGCUGGUCUGAGAGGACGACCAGCCACACCGGAACUGAGACACGGUCCGGACUCCUACGGGAGGCAGCAGUGGGGAAUAUUGGACAAUGGGGGAAACCCUGAUCCAGCGACGCCGCGUGUGUGAAGAAGGCCUGCGGGUUGUAAAGCACUUUUAGUGGGGACAAAAAGCUACGGAUUAAUACUCUGUGGUCUUGAUUUAACCCAAAGAACAAG